GACGAACGCUGGCGGCGUGCUUAACACAUGCAAGUCGAACGGUGAAUCACCUUCCUUUUGGUGGGUGUGGAUUAGUGGCGAACGGGCGAGUAACACGUUAGUAACCUGCCCCCUUCUUCUGGAUUAACGCCUGAAAGUGUGGCUAAUACGGGAUAUUCUGUUCCUGCUGCAUGGCGGGUGUGGGAAAGAUGCUCUUUUGGGUGUUUUUGGACGGGGAUGGGCUCGCGGGCUAUCUGUUUGUUGGUGGGGUGAUAGCCUACCAAGGCGGUGACGGGUAGCCGACCUGGGAGGGUGGACGGUCGCAUUGGAACUGGGACACGGACCAGGCGACUACGGGAGGGAGCAGUGGGGAAGAGUACGCAAUGGGGGCAAGCCUGAUGCAGCGACGCCGCGUGAGAGACGGCGGCCUUCGGGGUGUAAACCUCUUUCGCCAGUGAAGCAGGCCUGUCCCUUGUGGGUGGGUUGACGGUAGCUGGAGAAGAAGCGCCGGCUAACUACGUG
rnacentral:rRNA from 1 species